UACGGAGGGUGCAAGCGUUAUCCGGAUUCACUGGGUUUAAAGGGUGCGUAGGUGGGCAGGUAAGUCAGUGGUGAAAUCUCCGGGCUUAACUCGGAAACUGCCAUUGAUACUAUCUUUCUUGAAUACCGUGGAGGUCAGCGGAAUAUGUCAUGUAGCGGUGAAAUGCUUAGAUAUGACAUAGAACACCAAUUGCGAAGGCAGCUGGCUACACGAAUAUUGACACUGAGGCACGAAAGCGUGGGGAUCAAACAGG
rnacentral:rRNA from 1 species